rnacentral:rRNA from 1 species
UACAGAGACUGCAAGCGUUAUUCGGAUUCACUGGGCGUAAAGGGUGCGCAGGCGGCCGAGUGUGUGAGGCGUGAAAGCCCGGGGCUUAACCCCGGAAUUGCACCUCAAACUACACGGCUAGAGCAUUGGAGAGGGUGGCAGAAUUCAUGGUGUAGCAGUGAAAUGCGUAGAUAUCAUGAGGAAUACCAGAGGCGAAGGCGGCUACCUGGACAAUUGCUGACGCUCAGGCACGAAAGCGUGGGGAGCAAAAGGG